GCCGAGAUCGCGCCACUGCACUCCAGCCUGGGCGACAGAGCAAGAUUCCGUCUCAAAAAAAAAAAAACGUAUCUUGAAGUCCUAACCGCACUUCCAUACUUCAGAGUAUGACAAUAUUUGGAGAUAAGGUCUUUAAAGAGGUAAUUAUAUUAAAAAGAGGUCAUUAGGUUGGGUUCUAAUCUCAUAUGAGUGAUGUCCUUAGAAGAGGAAAUGUCAUGUACGUGACAUCUAUAGAGGGAGAAGACAGCUAUUUACAAGCCUAGGGUGCCUGAAACAAAUCCUUCCCUCAUGGCCCUCAGAAAGAACCAGCCAUGCUGAUACCUUGAUCUUGGACUUCCAGCCUCCAGAACUGUGAGGAAAUAAAUUUCUGUUGGUUAAGUUCGUCUAGUCUGUGGUACUUUGUUACAGCAGCCCUAGCAAACUUAUGUAGAUGUCUAUGGAAUAAUAAGAACAGGAUAACAGGGACACCUGGAGCUGCCAUAGGACAACCCUGAAGACCAGAGCUGGAAAGGAGCUCUGGAUUCAUGACAGCUUAAGAGCUCAUAGCAGGAUCUUCUCUCUGGUUCUCUGCUAUUAAUAUGGCUCAACCGAAUUCCAUGUCAUUUCUUUCUGUCCUACUAUAAACUGCUCAAGUUGUUCCCUAUUUUCAGUUCAGACUCCCAAGACGUCUUAUUUGGCACAGAUUAUCUUUUCUAACCAGGAUAUAGGUUCAUGGCCAUGGAUUAACUGUCCUUGGGGUAAGUACCCUCAUAUGGGAAGGUGAGAAGAUGGGGAUGCAGAAAUAUGGCCAGCUCAGUUGCAGGGGCUAUUGUGGCAGGGCAGAUGCCAGGUUUGCUAUAUCUCAGUAAAGUAGCAUAAAGAUGUUUACCUCUUUAAAUACAUUUUAAAAGAUUUUAGAAGUGAACACGUGAAAAAAAUCUCUCCAUUUGCUUUUUUAAGCAAACACUGCAACACCAUGAAUUUUUACCAAAUUUAUGUUUUUAAAAUUCAUUUGUUUUCAUUUGUGUCUGCUUGAUGGGGAUGAAAAUCUACUACUACUAUUACAUUUGUGAUAGUUUCUGAAUACAUUUUUAAUGGUUCUUGUUUUGUGUAUCCAAUUUUGUUUUUGUGGUUUAUGCAUUCACUCUGGUUUUCUGCUACUCACUGAUUUUAUCAUUAUACAAUGACUCUUAGUAUUUUUCAUCUUAAUUUUUUCUGAAAUUAACAUUACAACCGGCAGUUUUCUCCAGCUCGUUUCAUUGAAGAAAAAGAUUUCUUAUUCAUAGCACAACCAUCUUUGUGAAUAUUCCAAUUAAUUUAUGGUAUUCACAGACAAUUUUAGCUAUUGAGUUAACUCACUUAAUAUAGUUCUUUUAAAAGGUCAGACCUCAGUUUGAGAUUUGCCUUCUGAUCAUGUUUAGAGUAAAGGUAGCUUAUUAUUCAUUUUGCAGAGACCUGAAAGCUUUGGACAGAUCUUUCUGUUGACUUACCACAGGAGCAAAAAACUUGACCAGAGAGUCCUUUCCCUCUGAGGAUUUUGUGGUUGUCCCAGGUCUUUGGACUUCUUUUUUUUUUUUUUUUUUUUUUUUUGAGAUGGAGUCUCGCUCUGUCGCCCAGGCUGGAGUGCAGUGGCGUAAUCUCGGCUCACUGCAACCUCCGCCUCCGAGGUUCAAGCGAUUCACCUGCCUCAGCCUCCCGAGUAGCUGGGACUACAGGCGCCCACCACCACGCCCAGCUAAUUUUUUGUAUUUUUAGUAGAGACGGGUUUUCACCAUGUUAGCCAGGAUGGUCUCAAACUCCUGACCUCGUGAUCCACCCGCCUCGGCCUCCCAAAGUGCUGGGAUUACAGGUGUGAGCUACCGUGCCUGGCUGGACUUUUAUUAAUACAUCACUGGACAAAUCGGAAGUACUGGCUUAUACCCUUUAUAUGUUAGUUGGAUUGCUCACAGAAUCUCUCCUCUCCUUUGUUUAAAUGUUUUGUAAAUAGAUAUUUCAGUUUUGGUAUCUGUUAAAUUUAGUUGGAAAUAAACUCUACAUCAGUUACUGAUGUAACUAAGGCACCAGUACUUUAUUUUGAAAAUUGGAAGGUAAAAGGAAAGAAUUAAAUAGUUAUCCUAGUUUUCCUGUAUAAAGUGUAAUUCAGAGUAUCAAAAUAGGUUUAGUUGGUGAGAGAAGAAUUCCAACUAAUAAAUGUAGUUGGACCAGCAGCAUUAGAAAAUCACCACUUACAGCCCCUCAUGUAAUAAUUGAUUCAAGGAAUGACUAUCAAGUCUUUAGAUGAAAAGUUGAUAAGAGAGCUGAGGCUGUUACCAUUUGAACCCUCUGAUCACUCUUAGCAUCACUAAAAGUGGGACAAGGCAGACAUGUGCCUCCUGAUGUUACCCCCUAUGAAGUAUCCUUGUUAAAAAAAAAAAAAGAAAAGUGAAACCUGAAUCUCUAAAGCUACUUUCACUUGCAGCAAAUAUAAGGGAUAAAGGAGUAAGUCAGAUUACAACUUAAGGAAGUAGAUAGACAAAUCCAGAAUGUAGGACAUUUUACAAAGCAGCUGACCCAGUUACUGUUGUAAGUCCAUGUUGUGAAGGUAAAAAAGGGAGAGAGACUGCUCUAGAUUAUGACACUUAAGAGACAUAAGUGUGUUUGGAUCCUGAUUUAACAAACCAGUUUAUUGUUAAUCUUGACAGGUGUGAUAAUGGCAUUUAGCUUUGUAAGAAAAUAUCUAUUCCUAAAGACAAAGGUGGGACCCUCUUAACCCUUUCUAAAUCUAAGCUAAAAUGAUGUAUCAUUUUGGAGAAAGUUCCUCUGGUUUUCAGCCCACAGUGCUAUUCUUUCGUUUUCAUGGGUAUGGCUGUAUUACCUUAUUACCUUAAGCAAGUCAUCUUUUCCCUAAGGCUUUUAUUUUCCCAUUGUACCAUGAAGGUGCUGGAAUCAGUUGAUGAUCUCAAAGAUUAAAUUAUGCAUUGCUUGUUUAUCACCGUAUUUUAUCUAUUUAUCUUUGCCUUUUGCCUACAUUAUCUGUCUAUAAAUAGUUUCUUCCUUUUUAUUCAGUAAUCAAGAAACAUGUUGGAUCUGCCAUUUUACUGCUUCACUGGCUCUUAUAAGGAAGUGCCAAAGAGUUGGAAGCAAGAGAGUGGGUUCUUAAUGCUCACCCCAAGGACUUUCCUGAACACAGCUCUUACAGUUUCUUCCUCUCUCAUCGUGCCGUGUCUUCAGGUCUUAGAUUAUCUGUCCCCAGAUUAUUACCCUAUGCCAUCAUUAACGUUAUCUUUAAAUACCUCUGCCAUACACAAUAAAUAUAAUAAUAAUUGCUGCAAAAUAGGAAUAAUAAUAUCCCACAAGAUUUUCAUAAGAAAUGAGAUAUUAUAGAGUUAAUACUUAGCUUGGGUUUGGCCUAUUUAGCAUGUGAUAAUUAAUGGCAGCUGUUAUUUUUAUUAUUGUUGUUAUUGAACUCAUUUCUCAGCUUUAAGUAUUUAAUUCUACCCAAACAGUUUAUCUUGGUGAUGGCUUGGAUUGAUGUUGAUGGUACCUAUUGACCAGGGCUUCUCAACCUUGGCACUAUUGACAUUUUGGGCCAGAUGAUUCUUUGUUGUGGGGUAGCUAGCCUGUUCAUUGCAGGAUAUUAAGCAGCAUCCCUAAUCUCUACCUAUUAAAUGCCAGUAAUACCUACUACACCUAGUUGUGACAACCAAAAAUAUCCCCAGACAUUGCCAAAUGUCCCCUGGGAGAACCACUGCUGUAAAGCAAAGAUGCUACUUCAAGAAUUCAGUCUUCUUUUGAGCACCCUGAGGAUAAAACAGGGAAAACAAUAGAUUUGCAAGUUUUGUAGCUUUUUAUCUGUAUUAACAGAAAGGGCAAAUGGACACCAUUGUCUGUUUUCUAAUUCAACCCAUCAAUCAGUCUACUAUAUUGGAAAAUGAAUAGCUCUCCUUAUAAAACAGUCUCCUAAAGAAUAUCUGAGGCCACGCAUAGUGGCUCAUGCCUAUAAUCCUAGGCCUUUGGGGGGUCAAAGUGAAAGGAUUGCUUGAGCUUAGGAAUUCAAGACCAGCCUGGACAACAUAAUGAGACCCCCAUCUCUACAGAAAAAUUAAAAAAUUAGCCAGGCGGGGUGUUGCAUGUUUGUAGUCCCAGUUACUCAGGAGGCUGAGGUGGGAGGAUUGCUUGAACUUGAGAGGUUGAGACUGCAGUGGGCUAUGAUUGGGACACUACACUCCAGCCUGGGUGACAGAGUUGAGACCCUGUCUCAAAAAAAAGAAUAAUUGACUUCUCUAGUACGUGUAUAUCAGGCCUUGGCUUUUGCCUUUGUGUACUAAAAGGUCCAGUCUAGUUUUAGUUUUUGAACUUGGACAAGAAAUUUUUUGUGAAGCUUUUGUUUCACAAAUCAGUAAGUGCUAGAAUUAGUCCAUAUACAGUCAUGUGCCUCAUAAUGACAUUUCAGACCACUUAUACUAGGUUGGUUCCAUAAGAUUAUAAUGGAGCUGACAAAUUCCUAUUGCCUAGUGACAUUAGAGCUGUAGGGCAAUGCAUUACUCAAGUGUUCAUGGUGGUGCUGUUAUAAACCUACUGACUGCCAGUUGUAUAAAAGCAUAACAUAUACAAUUACAUACAGUACAUAUGUGGCAGGCCAUUCUUCUAUUGCUGUAAAGAAAUACCUGAGACUGAGUAAUUUAUAAAGAAAGAGCUUUAAUUGGCUCAUGGUUCUGCAGGCUGCACAGGAGGCAUAGCGGCAUCUGCUUCUGAGAAGGCCUCAAGAAGCUUCCAAUCAUGGAAGAAGGCAAAGGGUGAGCAGGCACAUCACAUGGUGAAAGCAAGAGAGAGAGUGGGGAGGUGCCAUACACUUAAUGAACAGAAGUCACACACUAUUUUGAGGAUAGUACCAAGAGGAUGGUAAUAAACCAUUCAGGAGAAACUCACCCCUGUGAUCCAAUCACCUCCCACCAGGCCCCACCUCCAACAUUGGGGAUUACAAUUCAACAUGAGAUUUGAGUGGGGUCAGCAUCCAAACUAUAUCAACAUAAUACCUGAUAAUGAUAAUAAAUGAGUAUGUUACUUCUUUAUGUAUUUAUUAUGCUAUACUUUUAAUCAUUAUUUUACAGUGUACCCUGUCUACUUUAAAAAAAAAAAAAGUUAACUGCAAAACAGCUUUAGGCAGGUCUGUCAGGAAGUAUUCUGCAAAAGGCAUUGUUAUCAUAGUAGAUGACAGCUCCAUACAUGUUAUUGCCCCUGAACACCUUCCAGUGGGACAAGAUGUGGAGGUGGAAGACAGUGAUACUGAUGAUCCUGACCCUGUGUAGGCCUAGGCUAAUGUGUGUGCUUGUGUCUUAGUUUUUUUGUUUUUGUUUUUUUUUAAAGAAAAGCUUAAAAGGUAAAAAUAAAAAAUUUUUAAAAAGAGAAAAAAGCAUAUAGAAUAAGGAUACAAGGAAAGAAAAUAUUUUUGUACAACUAUACAAUGUGUUUGUGUUUUAAGCUAAGUGUUAUUAGGAGAGUCAAAAGUUCUUAAAAAUCAAAAUGUUUAUAAAGUAAAAAAGUUAUAGUAAGCAGAGAUUAAUUUAUUAUUAAAGAAAACUUUUAAAAAUACACUUAGAUGGAUUAAAGACUUAAACAUUAGACCCAAAACCAUAAAAACCCUAGAAGAAAAGCUAGGCAUUACAAUUCAGGACAUAGGCAUGGGCAAGGACUUCAUGUCUAAAAUAUCAAAAGCAAUGGCAACAAAAGCCAAAAUUGACAAAUGGGAUCUAACUAAACUCAAGAGCUUCUGCACAGCAAAAGAAACUACCAUCAGAGUGAACAGGCAACCUACAAAAUGGGAGAAAAUUUUCGCAACCUACUCAUCUGACAAAGGGCUAAUAUCCAGAAUCUACAAUGAACUCAAACAAAUUUACAAGAAAAAAAACAAACAACCCCAUCAAAAAGUGGGCAAAGGACAUGAACAGACACUUUUCAAAAGAAGACAUUUAUGCAGCCAAAAAACACAUGAAAAAAUGCUCACCAUCACUGGCCAUCAGAGAAAUGCAAAUCAAAACCACAAUGAGAUACCAUCUCACAUCAGUUAGAAUGGCAAUCAUUAGAAAGUCAGGAAACAACAGGUGCUGGAGAGGAUGUGGAGAAAUAGGAACACUUUUCCACUGUUGGUGGGACUGUAAACUAGUUCAACCAUUGUGGAAGUCAGUAUGGCAAUUCCUCAGGGAUCUAGAACUAGAAAUACCAUUUGACCCAGCCAUCCCAUUACUGGGUAUAUACCCAAAGGACUAUAAACCAUGCUGCUAUAAAGACACAUGCACACAUAUGUUUAUUGUGGCACUAUUCUCAAUAGCAAAGACUUGGAACCAACCCAAAUGUCCAACAAUGAUAGACUGGAUUAAGAAAAUGUGGCACAUAUACACCAUGGAAUAUUAUGCAGCCAUAAAAAAUGAUGAGUUCAUGUCCUUUGUAGGGACAUGGAUGAAAUUGGAAAUCAUCAUUCUCAGUAAACUAUCGCAAGAACAAAAAACCAAACACCGCAUAUUCUCACUCAUAGGUGGGAAUUGAACAAUGAGAACACAUGGACACAGGAAGGGGAACAUCACACUCUGGGGACUGUUGUGGGGUGGGGGGAGGGGGAGGGAUAGCAUUAGGAGAUAUACCUAAUGCUAAAUGACGAGUUAAUGGGUGCAGCACACCAGCAUGGCACAUGUAUACAUAUGUAACUAACCUGCACAUUGUGCACAUGUACCCUAAAACUUAAAGUAUAAUAAUAAUAAAAAAAUACACUUAGUGUAGCCUAAGCGUACAGUGUUUAUAAAGUCUACAGUAGUGUACUAUCAUGUCCUAGGCGUUCACAUUCACUCACUGCUCACUCACUGACUCAUCCAGAGCAACUUCUAUUCCCGCAAGCUCCAUUCACAGUAAGUGCCCUAUAUAGGUGUACCAGUUUUUAUCUUUUAUAAUAUAUUUUUACUGUACCUUUUCUAUGUUUAGAUACAUAAAUACGUCCCAUUGUGUUAUAGUUGCCUACAGUGUUCAGUACAGUAACUUGCUGCACAGGUUUGUAGCCUAUGAGCAAUAGACUAUAGCAUGUAACCUAGGUGUGUAGUUGGCUGUAUCACUGAGUUUUGUGUCAUUUCACUCUACGAUGUUCACACAAUGACGAAAUCACCUAAUGACACAUUUCUCAGGACGGAUCUCCAUCAUUAAGCAACAUGUCAUGUACUUAGCAUCUGUUAUGUCAGGGCCAAGCCUUGGACAACCUUUCACAGACAAUCUUCUUUCUCUUCCUGGCUGUUUGCUUUAUUGACCAGUCUACAGGUUUCCCUGGACUGCACUCAUCUCCUCCACAGGGACUAAUCUUUCUCUGAGCACCAUCCUACUUGCUUGAAACACUAAUGCCCUUUAAAACCAGUCCCCCUUUACAGGGGGGACUGGUUAUUUUGAUCACCAACUAAUGCACCUGUUCUUUUGGUCACUAACAAAAUACAUUUCCCUUUUUAUGUUUAUUCACUUCUCAUACUAAAGGAAUUCUUCCCUAUUUUUUUGACAGCUGGCUUUCUAUAGUCUAUAGUUCUCAUUUUGUUAAUUGAAAAAAACAAGAUUUGAUACUUUGUUUGCAGGAUACUACGUGUUGUUAGAAGGUCAAAAAGAUGAAUAGGACAUUAGUUAAUUUUCUCAAGUCUGUUUUUAUCUAUUCAGAAGGAAAAAUAAAAGCUAUGUUCACUCAAGGAACUACAAAUAGAGAUAAGAAGUACAAGAGGUACAAAUAACUAGGGCCAAAGGGCAAGUGUUAUUUUGGUGUAAUGUAAGGAAAAACCUUAUAGCUUUCCAACAAUGAACGGAGGUAAUUUGGUAUAGUGGAAAGAGCCUUUUUUUUUUUCUUUGACAACAGGGUCUUGCUCUGUCGCCCAGGCUAGAGUGUAGUGGCGCAAUCACAGCUCACUGUAGCCUUGACCUCCCAGGCUUAAUCAAUCCUCCCACCUCAGCCUCAUGAGUAGCUGGGACUACAGGCACGUGCCACUAUGCUAGACUAAUUUAUUUUAUUUAUUUUUUUUUUUUUUUAGAGAGAGACUGAGUCUCACCAUGUUGCCCAGGAUUGUUGCAAACUCCUGGCCUCAAAUCAUCCUUCCACCUCGGCCUCCAGAAGUGCUGGGAUUACAGGCGUGAGCCACCACACCCAGCUGAAAAAGCCAUAUUUUUGAAGUCUGACAGCCCUGGCUAGAUCUGUUAAAUUAAAUAUUAGCUGUUUAGUCUUAGGCAGAUUACUUAGCCUCUUUGAACCUCAGUUUUGUGUGUUUUUAUUUCAUUUGUAAACGGGGCUAAAUAGUACCUUCUUGAGUUGUUAAGACAAAAUAAGAUAAUAUUUAAAGUGACCAGCAUAGUACUUAACACAGAGGAGUCAUAAAGUAAAUAUGAGUUUCUGCCAUUGUUAGGAAAUGAGAUAGAUAUGUCAUGUUAUCCAGAGAAUUCACUUAGGCAGGUCUUCCAUAAGCAACAUGACUUGACUCAAGUAAUCUCAAUCUAGUCUCUGGGUUCUUAGCUUUUUAACUUCUGGACUUCAGGCCUUGUCAGAGCACCUAGAAGAGAUCAAAUUCAAGGGACUGACUCACUAAACUCUGAGGCUUAUGUAUGAACCAGAAUAUUUAUUCUCACUAAGGGCUAUUCAUUUCCAUUAUUCGGAAUUUUCACUUUUCCCAACCAGGGCACCUCUUCUUCAUAUGAGUCGAGCAACUAAAUGUGUUGUGGUUUAAAGAGGUUUACAAUGAGAACAAAUGGAGGUAGCUAAUCUCCAUGAGCAUUUCACUUACAAAGAUGAAAUAGCUCAUCUUUACAAAAACUGAAAGACCACUUUUCUAUAACAGAACAUGUUUUUCUUUAAAUUUAAAGUUUAUAUUCAUUAGACUCAGGGUCUUUCUCCCUUAACAGCUUAGAAUCUGAUGAACACAUAUAGUUAACGGACUUUUCCCUUCUUAGAUUCCAUGCUGACUAUCCUCCGUCUUAAUCCUGGUUUUCUUCAACCAGUGCAUAAUACUGUUGAUUAGAUUUAAACUUUCAUCGGUACGAUCUCAUUCCUAGUACGUUGCCUUAAGAUUAUACCCAAGUCUCCAAGAUUACCUUCUUCCUAAAACAUGAGGUGUGUAUUUACUAAAAUCUUUUAGGUUUGUCCUACAUGUAACUAUCUCAUCCAUUAUGUGUGUUAUUUUACUUGUUAACUUUCAGUUUUAGAUGAUUCUUGUGGGCAAGGGGUGGGCAAUACUGUGUAGUGAAAAUAGUUCCCAUUCCCUCAUUCCCAACAAUGAAUAAUUUUCCAAAGCUGCUGUAAUAAGUAUAAGGGGGCCAGGCGCUGUGGCUCACACCUGUAAUCCCAGUACUUUGGAAGGCUGAGGCGGGUGGAUCGCUUGAGGUCAGGAGUUCAUUACCAACCUGGGCAAGGGCAACAUGGAGAAACCCCAUGUCUCUACAAAAAAUAUAAAAAUUAGCUGGGUGUGGUGGUGCACACUUGUAAUCCUAGCUACUCCGGAGGCUGAGGCAUGAGAAUUGCUUGAACCUGGGAGGUGGAGGUUGCAGUGAGCUGAGAUUGUGCCACUAUACUCCAGCCUGGGUGACACAGCAAGACUCUGUCUUUAAAAAAAAAAAAAAAAAAAAAAAAGAAAAGAAAUAAAAUAAAUAUAAGGAUUAAUUGAUCAUUCUAUUAAAAAGCAAACUUAUGCCUUGAGCUUGGAGUAGUAUCGGAUAAUUUGUAAAGUGCCUUCCAACUGUUAUAUUUUGUGAUUUUAUAACCUCCUUUUAUCUCCUUCUAUUUUUUGGCUCCACUAUCUAGAUCCAUCAUCUUCUCUCACAUUCUAUCCUCUUUUUUUUUUUUUCAACUGAUUUAGCAUCCCACAUGUGUAGUGAGUUUACCUUUUCUUUUGCUGAAGCAUUUUCCACAGUGUCAAGUAUGCCUUGUUUGAAAUUCUGUGGUGUUGUCAUCUGCAAAAAUUCUAACAAGAUGUUACUGACAUAAACAGUAUGCCUUUGAGAAUAAAUUGUAAUCAUUCUUUAUCCUGCUUAUAAUUUGAUAAUUUUUGCAUUUGGGAAUUUGUUUUUUUCUGAAUUCUUUUUUUAUAUGUAUGGAAAGCUUUUUAAUGGCCCACAUUUAAUUAAUUUAUUAUUAUGUAAUUACCUUUUGUGAUUAUUUAUGAAAAUUAUCAUUUUUAAACAAUGAUUUUAUUAGCAUUCAAUUAGAAUGAGGAAUAUUCACUUUGCAGUUGUUCAUUCCACUGUCUUGCCAAAACUCCUUCCUUAUUUUUUAUUCUUUAUUCAUCAAGUAAUGUAGAGCAUUGUGUCUAUUAUUGUAUUUUAAUCCGCAUCCUAUGAAAUCCAACUCAGCUCUGGUCAGCAUCAGAUCCCAUGUUUUUAACCAUUCUUUGUAUAUCAGAAAAAAAGGAAAAAAAGAAAAUAAGGCAGCAUAUUUUUCAUAUGAAACAUGUUCUUAGACUACUCUGAUUGUCUACAGGAUGUUACAUUUUGGAAAUAUCUCUAGUAAACACCUUCAUUAACACCAACACACCUGAGAACACAACUAUAAAAUUUAAUCCAUGACUACUAAACACAGUCAGCCUUAGCUUCUCAGGCUCUCAUUCCAGACUCUUCCUGUACUCUCUGUUUGUGAAGACAGCCUUCAAGAUGGCCUCCAAUGAUCUUCAGCUCCUGAUAUUCACACCUUGUUGACUUACUACUAAAGAAUAGAAUACUAUAAGAAAUAAUGAGAUGUUAGGGUUUUUUUUUUGUUUGGUUUUUUUUUUUUUUUUUGAGACAGAGUCUCACUCUGUUGCCCAGGCUGGAGAGCAGUGACGGGAUGUUGGCUCACCCCCAGCUCCCAGGUUCAAGCGAUUCUCCCCCUACCUCAGCCUCCCGGGUGGCUGGGAUUACAGGCGCCCACCACCAUGCCCGGCUAAUUUUUGUAUUUUUAAUAGAGACAACGUUUCACCAUGUUGGCCAGGCUGGUCUUGAACUCCUGACCUCAGGUGAUCUGCCCACCUCAGCCUCCCAAAGCUGGGAUUACAGACGUGAGUGAGCCACUACACCCAGCUGAGUUGUCAGUUUUGAGAUUAGGUUAUAAAAAGACUGUGGCUGGCCAGGCAUGGUUGCCCAUGCCUGUAAUCUCAGUACUUUGGGAGACGAAGGCAGGAGGAUCACUUGAGCUCAGGAGUUCAAGACCACCCUGGGCAACAUGACAAGACUUUGUCUCCACAAAAAUUUUAAAAUAGCUCAGAGUGGUGGUGUGUACCUGUGGUCUCAGCUACUCAGGAGGCUGAAGUGGGGAGGAUCACUUGAGCCCAGGUGGUCGAGGCUGCAGUGAGCUGUGUUUAUACCACCACACUCCAGCCUGGGCCGCAGAGUGAGACUUUGUCCAAAACAACAACAACAACAACAACAACAACAACAAAAACUGUAGCUUCCAUUUUGGGUGUUCUCUAUUGCUCUGUCUUGGAUCAUUCACUCUGGGAGAAGCCAGCUGCCAAAGGCAUUCCUUCAGCGAGGCCCACAUGAAUGGUAACAGGCACAUGAGUGAGCUUGGAAGCUGAUCCUUUCCUAGUUGAGCCUUGAUGACUGCAGCUGUGGCUGACACAGCAGUAGCUUUUUGAAAGAUCCUAAACCAUAACUAACCAGCUAAGUCUUCCAGAUAACUGUCCUGCAGAAACUAUGAGAUAAUAAAUGUUCAUUGUUUUAGCUACUGAGUGUUGGGGUUAUUUGUUGUACUGCAAUAGAUAACUAAUAUACUGCCGGGGCUCCUCCUCCGGCCUGGCCCGUUUUAUCUGAAAUCUUCUAAUCUUCCAAGUCCCUACUUUUUCCUCAGAAUCCAGUCUAAUCCCAGGGUUGGAUGGUUUUCAUCUUGGAUUAAGUAAGUGGCAAACUAACCUCUGGACCCCAGCAUCUUCACCUAUAGAAUGUGUUGGGCUAAGUGAUGUCCAGAUUCCUUUAACCCUCAAGUUCUCUGCUUCUGCACUUCCCCAGGCUCUGUCUUCAAUUUCAUCAAAAGAAUGAAUAUAAGAACUAAUUUGUUAGAAUCAACCAAAUUUUAUUCACUCUGGGGAUCUUGUUUACUAGGCUGACUUGUGCGGGGGAAAGGCAACAAGCAAAUUAGGCUUAUGGGACAGCAGAACUGCGUCUGUCUUGCUGACUCUUCAAAAUCUGUCUUCAGAAUCCUCAACUCUGGAAUUUCCUUUUUCUCUCAUUCUCAACUGUCACUUUACCCAGGGCAUACUGACCUCAGCCAGUUAAGGUGGCCUCAGGAAAAUCAGAGGCAGAAGCAUAAUAGGCAGGAGCCCAGAGAGGCCCAGACUGAGGGUAGCAGAAAACUCAGCAAGCGAGAUGGGAGACUUCUCAAUCCAAGACUUGUAGAAAUGGAUGUUUGUGUAUAUUCCAGGCCCACUGGUUUGGAUGCAGUUUGAUCCCUGGCUUACCACUCCUGCCAGGACCUAGAAAUCUUCAACUUGACACAUCACGGGAUCUCAUCUACUGCCCAGAGAGAGAGAGAGAGAGAGAGAGAGAGAGAGAGAAGAAUGUUGGCUAGACAGUACAUAGAGCAAAGGGAAGGAGGUGAAACUCUUCAACAGUUUAGCCAAGAACUGUACAGUUAGGCCUGUCCAGACACUCCUGGGUUCACCCAGGGUCUCUGAAGAUAUGAGAAGUGGAGGAAGCACACUGGGGAAGGCAAGGCCUGUGAAAGGUGCCUGAGGGGUGGAUUCUUACAGUACACUGAUCCAUCUGCCCCACUGGGAGCUUGGAGCAGAUCAUAGCUUCACUGAUGAUGAGCUCAACUCCGUGCAGCAAGAUUUCAUUUUGAUAGUGGUCACCGCAUGUCUGGAGAUCAAUGAGGGGCACUUUCAGCUCCUUCAGUGUAUAAGAACGCUUGAUAUCUGUAGGGCCAAAAAGAGUCAAAGCUGUCUUAAUUAAAAAGUGACUUCUGGCCAUGGAUACAGAUUUUGUGCCUUUGAUUUUCAGAUAAAGCUCUAAUUUCAAAUAUUCUGCCCCAUGUUAGAUAGCAUCCUGAUUUCUGGUUUGGGAAACAACCUAAAGGCUGAGCUCCCUGGCGCUGAACAAGACCGUGGGCAGUUGGCUCCUGUUCACAUAGCACAAAUUAGUAACAGAAAAAUCUUGUAAUUUAGGAAAACCCAAAACAGAAUGCGGAUUUAAGUUGUCUUCAGAAUAUGUAUUUAUUUUUCUAUAGAAAUAAGGGGUAGAUCUAGUAAGAAGAAUUACCCAGAAAUGAAGCUGUACUCUCCUAGCUAGUUUGAGUCAGGAACUUUUGCUGAGUGUCCUUACUUUCCUGAACACAUCUUCAUGUCUCCUUCCCCUAUCCACCUACCCACACACACUCCACCCAGGUAUGGAGGGAAAACUAUAUUACUUCUCAGACUGAACAGAACUAUCCUAUCUCUAAAUUCAUUACUCUGUCCUUUUUACUUUUAAGGUCUCAGCACUAUUGCUAAACAAGAACAAAAGCAGGUAUCAAUAAGCAAAGAGAUUAUAGCAGAAGAAAUAUGAAAGAGGCAAAGGGUCACAGAGAAUUUGAAGUCUGAAGCACCUCAGAUUACUGUAGUAUAUCUGGUGCUCUAGGGCUAGGAUAGAGAGCAGGCAGAGAGAAUGUCAGUCGAAGAAGUUAGAACACAGAAAAUCAAUGUAUCCUCACAUUGGAAUAUUCCAGUAUAGCCCCAUCCAGUCACCCAGCAGGAGGUUGUAUUCUUCUUCAGGUAGACUUCAGAUGAGGGAAGGCAGAUGAGCAGGACAACAGGGCUAACAGAAACUGGGGAGGGCAGUUCUACCACAGCGAUGGCACUAGAUGUGUUUGCUUGGAAAUCAGGGUGGGGGGAUAAUCUGGGACACAGGUAUUAUCGUCAUUUUGGAGUCUGCACAACCAAAGAUCUGAGCCCACCAAUACACUGUAUUUCCUGGCAUCCUUAGACCUGAGAAGAGAAGCAGAAGAGAUACCGUGGGUUUCUUGUGACUCUGCCCUGGGUCAUCAUAGCAGAGCCCAUUGUUCUGGAUAUGGCAUUUUUCCUCUAGUUCUUCUGAGGCUUUCAUUCCUUCAAAAAGUAUUGAGCAUCUCCUGGUAGUAUAAAUGAAAUUAAAAUAGAUACAAUCUGGCCGUCACAGGGCUAUAAUUUUAAGGGGUGUGUAGGGGUGUGUGUGUGUGUUGGGGCAGGGAGAGAGAGACAAGCAACAAACAAGUACAAAAUUUAAAAUUGUGAUAAAUGUUAUGAAGAAAACACACAAUUUUAAAGUAGAGAGUAAAGGAAGCGGGGAGAGUCUUUAUUGGAUGGUCAGGAAAGGUCUUGUUGAGGUAACUUUUCAACUGAGUCCCAAAAGGAAGAAGUCAGCCUUAAGAUCGAUAAAAGCAUUCCAGACAGGGAAUAGAGUAUGCAAGGCCUUGAGGGUGAGAAAGAGCUUGGCAGUCUCCAGGAACUGAAAGAAAAGCUGGAGAAUAGGAUGAGGUUGGAAAAGUGGGCAGACACCUGGUGAUUCAUGGCUUGUAGGCCACAAUGUGUCAUUUGGGUUUUAUUAUAGGUGCCUGGGCAACCGCUGGGGGAUUCAAAGCAGGGAGUGAUGUUAUCUCACCUCUAACUUUAAAAAGUCAUUUUUUGGUGUGUAUUGAAGGUAGUAAAACCUAUUAUACUAUUGCAAAGGUCCAGGGGUAGCUAUGUUAGAGUCAAAGUAUAUUUUGGAAGUAAAACUGACAAGAAUGGUAUAUGCAUUGCAUGUGGAAGGUGAGGGAAAGUGAGAUACAAUAUUUGUCUUGAGUAACUGGUUACAUUGGUGAAUGAAAUGGGGAAGGCAGAGAGAGAAAAAGAUUGGGGGACAGUGAUGGUGGUAAAAUUACCUUUUCUGACCAUGUUACCCUUGAGAUGCCAAAUAGAAGUGCAUCAGGACUAGUGUUUGGGGCUAGAGAUGCAAGUGCGAGUGUUAUCAGCAAAUAUAUGACAUUUAAACCAAGGGAAAUGGAAGAGGGUGGAUAAUGAGAAAUUACUUAAUGGGUACAAUGUACAUUAUUUGGGUGAUGGAUACCUUAAGAGCUCUGACAUCACUGCUAUGCAGUCUAGGCAUAUAACAGAAAUUAUACUUGUACUCCAUAAAUGCAUACAAAUAAAAUAAAAAUAUUUUAAAAUAAGAGGCAAGUGUAAGCACACUUUCUUUCAAAAAGGAAAAAAACAAAGAUGGAUGAGUUAACUUAGGGGUAGUGAAGAAGGCUCAGGAUUGUGCCUCUGAAGAGUGGUAUGAGGUGUAGGCAUGCUGCUGUAAGGGAAGGAGCCCUUCCUGGGGGAUGUCUCCUGGGUAGAGGCUUCGAAUUGAGGAAUGGGGUGGGAGAAUGUAACUAUUUUUAGGUAGUCAUUUCAAUCAAGAUAAUGUUAAAUUUGAAGAAGCCUGAAGUCUGAGAGUAGUUGCACUGAACUGAGAGCUAGAGUAGGAAGUAUUUGAACCCAUUAAUAACGCACAACAUAGUGUAUUGGGCAGUGCACGAUAAGCCCCACCCCGGCCUCUCAGGCGGUGCAGUCACCCAGGUGCCCUGAUGGGUCUCCACACAGCAGGGCCAGCACUCACGGGAAGCAGAUCGCCACUGUCAGCACCCACUCCUCUGAGAUGAGGGUAUCUGAGCAGACGUGAAUCAAGCCCUGGCGGAUGCUGACCUGCCAGGGCCACUGCCCCACACUAGCCCCCCAGCCUGAGGCAAUACCAGAUGAGACUGUGGGCCGCCCACAGACUGCCAACAAAGGGCAAGAAGACUUGGAGGGAUGCAGCCUGGAAUCCUGCCCCUCCACCCUCACCCCUCCAUGGUCAUUUCCCAAACUCAGGUCCUCUUUCCUCCUUACACAGAUUCCCUUCCCUCAGUCCAUCCAGGCAUGCUGCCUCUGCCUGAAGUGUCUUACUUGACUUCAAGAGAUUCUCUGGUUCAUCCUCAUUUGUCAGUUUUGGAAGUAAAACUGACAAGAAUGCUGUGCUUUGGCAAGGCCCAUGUUCUCUCAAUGGCCUUUGGACUUUCUCGACAUUUUACAUAAACAGGAAUCUGACUUGUAUUUCUGCACCUGUGGGAAGGAUAGUUCCAGAGCCAAAAGUAUCAAAGAUCUCAAGAUGACAAGUCUCAUAUCCCCCUAUUUAGAAGAGAAUGGAUAAGGCCUCAGGACAGAAAACAAAAAUAAUAUUGGCCAUAAUGCCCAGAAGUUGAUAUGAUAUUAAAGUAUACAAUUUAUAUAUAGACAAUUACAAACUCUAGAGGGAGAAAGACAGUUUAAAAUCUUUAUUAUAAUUCAAGGCUCUCCCUCUCCCUCUCCCUCUCCCUCUCCCUCUCCCCCUCUCUUUCCACGGUCUCCCUCUCAUGCUGAGCCAAAGCUGGACUGUACUGCUGCCAUCUCAGCUCACUGCAACCUCCCUGCCUGAUUCUCCUGACAGCCUGCCGAAUGCCUGCGAUUGCAGGCUCGCACCGCCACGCCUGACUGGUUUUGGUGGAGACGGUGUUUCGCUGUGUUGGCCAGGCCGGUCUCCAGCCCCUAACCGCAAGUGAUCCGCCAGCCUCGGCCUCCCGAGGUGCCUGGAUUGCAGACGGAGUCUCGUUCACUCAGUGCUCAAUGGUGCCCAGGCUGGAGUGCAGUGGCGUGAUCUCGGCUGGCUACAACCUCCACCUCCCAGCCGCCUGCCUUGGCCUCCCAAAGUGCCGAGAUUGCAGCCUCUGCCCGGCCGCCACCCCGUCUGGGAAGUGAGGAGCGUCUCUGCCUGGCCGCCCAUCGUCUGGGAUGUGAGGAGCCCCUCUGCCUGGCUGCCCAGUCUGGAAAGUGAGGAGCGUCUCCGCCCGGCCGCCAUCUCACCUAGGAAGUGAGAAGCACCUCUUCCCGGCCGCCAUCACAUCUAGGAAGUGAGGAGCGUCUCUGCCCGGCCGCCCAUCCUCUGAGAUGUGGGGAGUGCCUCUGCCCCGCUGCCCCGUCUGGGAUGUGAGGAGCACCUCUGCCCGGCCGCGACCCUGUCUGGGAGGUGAGGAGCAUCUCUGCCCGGCCGCCCCGUCUGAGAAGUGAGGAGACCCUCUGCCCGGCAACCGCCCCGUCUGAGAAGUGAGGAGCCCCUCCGCCCGGCAGCCGCCCCGUCUGAGAAGUGAGGAGCCUCUCCGCCCGGCAGCCACCCCAUCUGGGAAGUGAGGAGCGUCUCCGCCCGGCAGCCACCCCGUCUGGGAGGGAGGUGGGGGGGGUCAGCCCCCCGCCAGGCCAGCCGCCCCAUCCGGGAGGGAGGUGGGGGUCAGCCCCCCGCCCGGCCAGCCGCCCCGUCCGGGAGGUGAGGGGCGCCUCUGCCCGGCCGCCCCUACUGGGAAGUGAGGAGCCCCUCUGCCCAGCCAGCCGCCCCAUCCGGGAGGGAGGUGGGGGCGUCAGCCCCCCGCCUGGCCAGCCGCCCCUCCCGGGAGGUGAGGGGCGCCUCUGCCCGGCCGCCCCUACUGGGAAGUGAGGAGCCCUCUGCCCGGCCACCACCCCGUCUGGGAGGUGUGCCCAACAGCUCAUUGAGAACGGGCCAGGAUGACAAUGGCGGCUUUGUGGAAUAGAAAGGCGGGAAAGGUGGGGAAAAGAUUGAGAAAUCGGAUGGUUGCCGUGUCUGUGUAGAAAGAAGUAGACAUGGGAGACUUUUCAUUUUGUUCUGUACUAAGAAAACUUCUUCUGCCUUGGGAUCCUGUUGAUCUGUGACCUUACCCCCAACCCUGUGCUCUCUGAAACAUGUGCUGUGUCCACUCAGGGUUAAAUGGAUUAAGGGCGGUGCAAGAUGUGCUUUGUUAAACAGAUGCUUGAAGGCAGCAUGCUCCUUAAGAGUCAUCACCACUCCCUAAUCUCAAGUACCCAGGGACACAAACACUGCGGAAGGCCACAGGGUCCUCUGCCUAGGAAAACCAGAGACCUUUGUUCACUUGUUUAUCUGCUGACCUUCCCUCCACUAUUGUCCUAUGACCCUGCCAAAUCCCCCUCUGUGAGAAACACCCAAGAAUUAUCAAUAAAAAAUAAAUAAAUUUAAAAAAUAAAUAAAUAAAUAAAUAAAAAUAAAAAAAAUAAUAAUUCAAGGUAUCCUUUUGGUUUACAAAGUGACUAAAUCUUCUAAGCAUAAACUAUUGUCUAAAAAUUUUAAAGUAAUUCUAAAUAGUUUAACAUAUGUGAUCAGUUACAGAAGCCUGAUAGUGUUUUACAUUUGCCUGACAUUUUCAUUCACACAGAGGGUAACGCAUGUUUUCAUUCCCUUUAUAGAUGAGGAAACUGAGGCCCUUGGAGGUUAAAUGGCUUAACUAAUUAUACUGUGCAAUAACAAAGCUGGGCGUCACUUCUAUUUUCUUGUCUGUAAUCAUACUCAAACCCAGAUCUUCUAAGUCAUCAUCUAGUUAUCUUGCUACAGCAGCCUCCCAAGUCCAGGAAACCUCAUUUGUUUGUCCAGCAAUCAUUUAUUCAAUACCCACGCCAGGGACCGUUUUCUAGAAUAGAGGUAUGAAAACAUAGAAAAAGCCUCUGUCCUCGUAGAGGUUGUAUUGUAGUUGUAAGUCAGAACAUGACAAGUGCUUUUUUGUUGUUGUUGUUGUUGUUGUUUUCUUGUUUUUUUUUUUUUUUGAGACGGAGUCUCGCUCUGUCGCCCAGGCUGGAGUGCAGUGGUGCGAUUUCGGCUUACUGCAAGCUCCGCUUCCCCGGUUCACACCAUUCUCCUGCGUCAGCCUCCUGAGUAGCUGAGACUACAGGCACCUGCCACCACACCCAGCUAAUUUUUUGUAUUUUUAGUUAGAGACAGGGUUUCACUGUGUUAGCCAGGGUGGUCUCAAUCUCCUGACCUCGUGAUCCGCCCGCCUAGGCCUCCCGAAGUGCUGGGAUUACAGGCGUGAGCCACUGUGCCCGGCCAACAAGUGCUUUGUUUAAUAACAGGCUUAGAUACUUAGGGAUGCUGGAGUGGGGCAUAACUUUUAAAUAGGGUGGUCAGACAAGGCAUCACUGAGGUGAUUUCUGAGCAGAGACCUGAGAGGUAAGAGAGGAAAUGAGCCAGGUGGAUAACUGAGGGAAGAGGGGUUGAAGCAUGGAGAACAGCAGUACAAAGUCCCUGAGGCAGGGGUGUGCUUGGAACGUUUAGGAAACACUAUGGCCAGAGCAGAGUGAGGGGCUCCAGCGGUGAGAAAUAAGGUCACACAGGGAUUGGAGGCCAAAUGAUGUAGGCUCUUGCAGGCUAUUGUGAGGACUUCGGUUUUUAUUCUUAGUAGUAUGGGAAGAUAGUUGAUCUGACUUAAAUUUUAAAUGAAUCAAACUGGCAAGUAGAUUGAUAAUGGUCAGGGAUAAAAGCAGGGAAACCAGGCAGAAAACUAUUGCAGUGAACUGGGCAGGAGGUGAUGGUGGAUUUGGACCAGGGAUAUAGAGAAGUGGUAAGAAGUGGCAGAUUCCAGUUGCAUUGUGAAGGUAGAACACACAGGACUUGCUGAUAGAUUGGAUGUGGUUGUGAGAAGAAGACAGGAGCCAAGGAUGACUCCAUUUGGCCUGAGCCAUUGGAAGAGUGGAAGUACUGUUUACUGAAAUGGGGCACAGUGUAGGAGGAGAAGGUUUCUGGAGGGUAGAUGAAGAGUUCAUUUGUAGGCAUAAGUUUAAGAUGCUUGAUCGAUGUCUAGCUGGAGAUGUCCAGUAGGCAGUUGAAUAUAUAAAUCUGGAAUUUGGAGACUUGGCCCAAACUAGGGCUAGAUUAGGGUGUCAUCAGCAUGUCAUAGUAUUUAAAGCCAUGAGAUGAGAUUAGGUCCCCUAUGGAGUGAGUAUAAAUAAAGCCCACUGUGAAUGCUAAGGAUUGAGCCCACCUAAGUUUCAUGAGAUGAAUAAGAACCAAUAAGAGACUGAGAGGAUAGUGGUGAGGUAGGCUGAGAACUGAGAGUAGUAUCCUGGAAGCUGAGAAGAGAAAGUGUAUCAAGGAGGAAAGUGAUAGGCUGCCAAAUGCUGCAAAUGGCUGAGAACUGACCAUCAGAUUUAGCAUCAUGGAACAGGCUCAAGAGAGAAUAAAAGGGGAGUACUUUGAGAUAGAAAAAGUAGUUUUGCUGUAAAGGGAACAGAGAAACAGCUGGCAGAAGAGGCUGGGUGGCACAGUCUUUUGUUCUUGUUGUUUUAAGAUGAGAGAAAUUACAUCCUGUUUGUGUGCUAAUGGAAUUAUCCAGCAAAGAGGAGGAAAUUGAUGACACAGAAGAGAAAGCAAAUAGUGCUGCAAUGGUGUCCUUGAGCAGGGGACAGAUCCCAGCUCACCAAUUGGAAGGUGAGAAUGCUUAGAUUGGAACACAGACGGAUUUUCCUACACAGGAACAAAGGCAAUGGGCACAGAUGCCACUUGGCAGCAGGUGUGGUGGUGGAAUUCCUCUGCUUAUUGUUUCUGUUUCCUCAGUGAAGCAUAGAAAUUAUCCAUUGAGAAAGAGGAUGGGAAUGGAGGUAUUGAGGACUUAUGGAGAAGUGUGCUAGUCAUGUAGCAGUGAGGGAGAUGAAUGAACUAAGAAAAUAAUAGUGUGACUGCGGGGCAGCUGAAAGGAUCCACUUGAAUUAAGUGAAAUUGGCAUAGUUGUGUGUUCACCAGUGCUGCUCAGCAACAUGGGUAGAGGCAUGGAGAGAGCAGAGAGUUGGCUGCAAGCAGGGUGAGGUUUUCAGAGGAAGGUAUGAAGAAGGGUGGACAGGGGAGUGAUUAUAAUGAGAAAUCACUAACUUAAGCUGGAAAGGAGGAAAGUAAGCAAUGAAGGGGGUGUAGAGAGUAAAGCGAGAUAAAGUCAGUAGAUUAUAAAUCCUGAUGGAGUAGAAAAUUAUUGGAAUUGGCCUUCUUGCUGUAAGGAGUUCAAGAAAGAACAAAUGGGCCAUGUGCAGUGGCUCACACCUGUAAUCCCAGCACUUUGGGAGUCCAAGGCUGGUGGAUUGCUUGUGAUCAGGAGUUCGAGACCAGCCUGACCAACAUGGUGAAACCCCUGCCUCUACUAAAAAUACAAAAAUUAGCUGGGCAUGGUGGUAUGCGCCUGUAAUCCCAGCUAUUUGGGAGGCUGAGGCAGGAGAAUCCCUUGAACCCUGGAGGCAGAGGUUGCAGUGAGCCAAGAUCACACCAUUGUACUCCAGCCUGGGUGAUAGAGCAAGACUCCGUCUCAGGAAAAAAAAAAAAAAAGGAAAAAAAGAAAAAGAAAGAACAAAUGGGUUGGCAAGGUGGGAUGCUUAAAAAUGAGAUUCUGGAAAGGGUGCAGGUAUUGGUUAUAACAAGGUCAGGAAGACCAUGGAAGUAGUGCCUAAGGUCUGGUGAAAAAUCAUUUAAUCCUAAAGGCAGAUUAUGAUGAAAAGGCAGUGAAUGGAGGAGGGAUAGGUGAGGGCUUCUCAGGAGUAUUCUGGGGUCUGUGCCCUCCCUCCCUGCCAGAGCCCGUGAAACUUGAGACUGGAAUGGAUCCAUCGGCCAACAGUCUUUGUUGACUGAUCCUCAGCUAACGACGUAUCCAGCCAAACUGUGCUCCUUUUUGGGCCGCAGGUUUCCAUUUGGUUCACAAAAGCAUGCUGGGAGACUUUGUGUUAGGAAUUGUGUACUGACAACCAAAGCAGAAUGCUCUUUAUCUCCAGCAGACUGAUGGAAAGAAAUCUGAGAAUUAAUAGCUGUUAUUAAAAUAUUAAUAGGUUUGACUCCUCUUCUUCUGGUGCCUGCUGGGCAUAAUAUAUGGUUGGGUUUUUUCUUUACAAUUACUAAAAAAAUUUCAACACCAGAGAAAUGUAUAAGGUAAAAUAGAAAGUUUUCUUCCUUAUUGUCUCCACUUCUAGCACCUGAUGGGUUGUUUGUGAGCAUCAUUCCAGAUCUCUCUCUCUCUCUCUUUCUUGUCUUGCUGUAUAUCCAUAUAUAUUUGUGUGGGGUCCAUAUACACAUGUCUGUAUAUAAUAUAUAUACACACACAUAUAUAUAAAUAUGUAUAUAUUUUCAUCACAGGAAAACAUGAGAAUAUUCUAUAUAUCAUUCUACAUGCAACUUAACUUUUUUCAAAGUCCUUCCAUGCCACUAUGUACCGACCUGAUUACUGUUCUUUAAAAUAGCUGCAUAACAUUCCACAUACAGAAGUAACCUAACAUUAAAAUCAUGCCUGUGUUGAUGGACACUUAGAUUUUCUUUAUUUUUUGCUGUUAUAAAUUAUGCUUCAGUAUAUAUAUUCUUUACCCCUCUUUUUGAGUACUUGUGCAAUUGUUUGAUGUGGAAGUAUUAAAGAAAAGACAAUCUGCAUUUAAAAAUUUGACCUCUAUUGCCACAUUAUCCUCCAAAGAGAUGGCACCAAUUCACAGUGAUGGAGAACAUCCCUUUUCCCAUGUGCUCAUUCACACUGAUUAUCUCUUCCCCCAGUCCCUACAUUUUGGCCAGUUUGAUGGGACCAUCAGGAGAAAAUAUUUUAACUCAAGCAUACGGCACUAAUUUGGGAAGAAUAACUGAAAUUCAGGAAUUAGAAAAUAGGAAUAUAUUUUAUUCUUUUUUACGUAGAGGAUUGAAUAUUAAUAUUUCUCCAAAAUUUAAUUUAAGACUUUACUUGAAUAGAUCUGGCCUUAACUAAUUGCUGAAAGAGGAAAGUGAUCAGGGGAAGAAAGAGAGAGUAAUGAAAGUCAUCAAAGCAUUAAAAAGGUCAGAUCUGAUUUCUGUUCCUUUGUUCCUGAAAAUGUUGUUUCUAAAUCUUUUUUUUUUACACGAAGUUUACAAAAAUUGCAAAUUUUGUGCUAAACCCUUAUGAGAUACUGGUUUCAGAUUUCAUAUGAGUUUAAUUCUGAGUUUGUGGUGAUUAAGUUGGAAAGAAGUUUUAUGUCAAUAUUCAGGUUUUUGGGAUCUUUAAACUUUGACCUAUUUUGGAAAGAGGGACCUGUAAUAGUAUAUGUUUAAUACAUAAUAGUACAGAUUUAGAGUUAAUAGCAUUUUUCAUUUGCUCGUGCUAAUUCUAUACAGAAUAUUUUAUUUAUGAUCUCCAUCCAAUUAAAAGUCACAUUUCUUACUGAUCACUUGAUAACUUUCUAAUACUUCUUUCACAGAAACAUUUGAAAACAAGUCUUAAGUAUGAAACUAGAAGAGCCAAUUAUAAAUCUUUUAUUGAACUAAGAAAAUAUUUUUAAAUAUUGUGACUUUUACAGAUACAAUCAAUAUAUACCUAACAUGAAGUGUAUGGACAGACUCUGAAUACGUGUAUGAGUAUAUGUGUGUUUUGAAUACCUUUAUUGUGAAUUUAUACUUGUCAGCACAAUAAUUACAUACCCUUGAGUGUUUUAUAGUUGGGCAUUCAUGUAAGUACACAUCUGUUUAAAUCUCAAAACAAUCUUGCAAUAUGCACUUAAAUGUUUUUGAGGCUCACUUUAUGUCUUUGAGUAGAAGAAGAAAAGUAACAGAUGGCCAACAAGGAUAUUGAGUUGACAAGAGAAAAACUUAACUUAGUUACUUUAGUUCCUGAAUUUAAAAAAAAAUUAAUCAGUAUAAAUUCACUCUAAGGAAAUCUUGGGAGUAUGUUUCCAUUGAAGUGCGUUGUUUGCAUUUUGUUUUGUUUUGUUUUGUUUACAAGGGGGUGCCAGGCAGGGAGGAGGGAAAGAAAGAGGUAAGAGGAAGAAUAUAUUGGACACCUAUCUAGUGGUUGUUGGACCUGAAAUUUGAACCCAUGUGUAUGGCUUCAAAGUCCAUGCGCCUUCCACUUCUCCAAGAGUUUGCUUUCUGUUGACCUUUAUCAGUGGAAGAAUUUCUCAAUGCUGAGAGCAAUUUUUCCAAUACUCUUAGAUCUAAAAAUGCUACUGACUGGAUUAUUCAUGUUUGAACAUGUAAAAAUAUUUUCUUGUUAAAUUAAGUUUAAUCUUAUACUUAAAGUUCGCUGUGUUAUGGAGAGAACUUUGAAGCAAGAAUCAGAAAUCAAAUAACACUAAUGCUUCCUAAUUAGAGAAAUCUCUAUUCAAUGCAAACUAAAAAUAUAUUGGCUGGUGUUCUAAUCAGCUGUGCUUAAUUCUAAGCACUAAAUUCUGAACACUGUGGGUAAAACACUUUGUUCAUUUCAGAAAUAGCUAGACUUUUCCUAAACUCUCAUUAGGAAAAAUAGAAGAAAUUAAGAAAAUAAAGCUGGGCACGGUGACUUACACCUGUAAUCCCAGCUUCUCAGGAGGUUGAGGCAGGAGGGUUGCUUAAGGCCAGGAAUUCAAGACUAGUCUGGGCAACAUAGCAAGAUCCCAUCUCUAAAAACAAAAACAAACAAACAAAAAAAAAAAAGUAAAACAUUAAAAAAUACCUUACAGUUUGAAAAUCUGGUCAACAUGAAGUAAAGAAUAACAGCAAUGUCAUCUGUAGGCAGGGUGGUUAUUGUGAUCAUAUUUUGAUAUUAGCUUCCUAUUGCUUGCUGCCAAUGGGGCUGUAAGGAAUAUGUGUUUAUGGAAGUCUCAGCGCUGAUCAUAGGAAGAUGAAAACAGUCAUACUGUUUGUUUUUUCCAUAAGUACCAGGUAGCUUUAAUGAGCUAUAAGAAAAUUAUACUAUUUGUGCAGAGUACCACAUUCAAUUCUUAAAGUUAAAUAUUUUUUAUAUAGUAUAGUCACAUUAUAUACAAUACAUCCAAGAUUUAUCUCCGCUAUCUUAUUUAAUCCACAUAAAAUAAACAUGUCUGUUUAUAUACAUUAAAGUUAUAGAGCUGAACUAUUAAAAUGGAGGAGCUGGUGAUGGCAGCAGGGAUUGACUGCAAGUGGGCACAAGCGAUCUUUCUAGAGUGAUGGGAAUGUUCUAAAAUGAUCUCAUUGUGAUGAUUGCACAACUCUGUAAAUUUACUAAAAAUUAUCCAAUUGUACAUUUCAAGCAGGUAAAUUUUAUGGAAUAUAAAUUAUAUGUAAGAAUCUGUUUAAUUUUUUAAAAGAAAUAGAAAAUAUAUGACUGUAUCUGACUCCAGAACUCUUAGAAAAUCUGAAAGAACAGUUAUUAUUGAUGAAACAAAGAAGUUGUCAUAGAGCUACCCUCCUUUCCCUCUCCUUCAGAGUUUGCAAAGAAAUUCUACCAAACUUUUAAGAAACAGAUUAUUCUAAUGCUAUUUUAACUGUUCUAGAACAUAGAAAAUGAAGGAAGGCUUCCAGUUCGUUCCUUUUUAUGAAGGUGAAAUAACAUUGAUAUUGAAACACAGAAAAUAUAUUUCUCCUAAAAGAAGACCAGGGACCAAUUUUGCAUGUGAAUAUUGAAACAAAAAUCUGAGAGAAAAAUUAUAAAAAUUUUAUCAUUUUAUAGAAUUCAGGAUCACAUUUGAAAAAUAAUACACAAAAGAAAAAUAAGAAAAGUAAUACACAAAACAGCAAUAUGGUGUAAUGCUAAAGAGUUUCAGCUCUGGAGCUGGACUGCUGGUUUGGAACCCCAGCACCGUCACUUCCUAGCUCCAUGACCUUGGGCAAGUUUAAACAUGGAUCAAUCCUAUGUAAAUCUUGUGCCAUUCAGUAUUAACUGCAGGUUCUAUGGGGCCGAAAAGGAAUUAUUUGUAGCAGCAAUGUCAUUACUUCUUUACUUAUGAUAAGCAGAAUAAAUAAAACAAUGAACCCAUCCA